GUGGAUUAGUCUUGGUACUGCUGACAGAUUGUCUGUUCCUAAUGGCACUACAAAAUUUUUCUACAGGUGAAUGUUUUGGAAUGCUACUUAUCUUCAGUUUAAGCUCACCACUACAUCUGGGGCUAGAAGGAGCUUUGUCUCAGGCCAAGAUGGCAGGGGAAGUACUUUAUGGCUGUGGUGGAUUGAUUGGUCUGUCAAGCCACCUGCACUAUACAGAAUUGCUUAUGAUUAUGGGCUAAACUUAAUGAUCCAGAAAGUGGAGGAGAUGUACAUGAGAAGGAUGGCGCAAAAGGCGGCAAGACACAAUGAUCUAUGGAUACUUUAAACUUACACAUCAAACUGAUCUCAAUGUCCAUUCAGAAACUGGAGAAAUUUGGGACUGUUUCCAGAUUUCACAAUUGGCUUCUGUCUCAUCACAAGCCAGGCUGAGCCCUCAGACCAAAACACUUUCAGACUUUGAGAUACCAGCUCAAACCCUCCAGCCUGUGGUUGUCUCUGGGCAAAAUAGGAACAUUCAUUAAAUACCGAGUGCCCCACUUCCAGCCUGGGAUAUACAUCCAAGCUUCCCAUUGAAGUGUCGGUUCCCACAGUAGGACAGAGCCCUUCGGGGAGGUGUCAGUAGUCAGUAGCCAGUUGUCAGGAUAAUUCAUUGCCUCAGGGGGAAAUCUGAGUUGAGAAGCAGCAGUCUUCUCCUGUUUGGAGGAGGUCAGCCACAUCAAAGCGGAGAUGUGCGGCCUCUGAGCAGGGAGGAGUGGUCGCUGCUCUUGAAGUUGCCAGUUUUCCUUCUUCUAUACAGGCUAGGAGUGGCAGGGGACAUGUUUGAAGAUCUGGGGAAAAUCUGGGAUCAUUCAAGCUGGAGCUGAGGGACAAAGGAGAAGGACUCCCAUUCAGGGAAGUUUGAUGGUUAGAUUUGGCUCAAAUGGGCUGGAAACCAGAGGGAAGGAACACGCUGGGGCAUUUCAGUUUGACAUUGCUUUUGCACUAAUACAGUAGAAUUUACUUCAACUUCUCAUUUAGAUAAGAAAGAGCAGAUCCAUCCUGCUGAGAGCAAAAGGUGUUCCAGG
rnacentral:lncRNA from 1 species